UAAUAAGUGUUUAUGGCACUUCUUAAAUCCAUAUCCACCUUGUGUGCAAUGUCAGCCGUUUUCUCUUUACGAAAGCGGCCAAACAUCAACUUAUUUUUUAACUGUCUGUCUGAAAACUAUUAUGAAUAAACAAUUCAAAUA
rnacentral:misc_RNA from 1 species